GAUGAACGCUGGCGGCGUGCUUAACACAUGCAAGUCGAACGGAAAGGCUCCUGCUUUCCGGGGUACUCGAGUGGCGAACGGGUGAGUAACACGUGUGUGUUCUGCCCUGCACUUCGGGAUAAGCCUGGGAAACUGGGGCUCUUAUCGGAUAUGACCACAUUAUGGAUGGUGUUGUGGAAAGUUUUUCGGUGUUGGAUGAGCUCGCGGCCUAUCAGCCUUUUGGUGGGGUAAUGGCCUACCAAGGCGUCGACGGGUAGCCGGCAUGAGAGGGCGGACGGACACACUGGGACUGAGAGACGGGCCGGACUCCGACGGGAGGCAGAAGGGGGGAAUAUUGGACAAUGGGAGGAAGCCUGAGGCAGGGAGGCCGCGGGAGGGAUGACGGCCUUUGGGUUGUAAACUCCUUUCGCUAGGGAAGAAGCGUUUUUGUGACGGUACCUGGAGAAGAAGCACCGGCUAACUACGUG
rnacentral:rRNA from 1 species